AGCGUGUGGGUGGGCCUGGAGGGCACUGCAGGGCUUUCCGGAAGGAGCUGGGAGGAAAAAGAUGAAAAGCAACUCCGAAAGGGAACAAUUCUGAGUAAAGGUGGAAAAUCUCUCUCAUGACUGCAUGUAAGUGCCAGCGAGCACUCAGGGUGGUGAAAGGGCAUCUCACCAGCAGACUGCCAGCUGCCCAGGAUUUGUUCUGAGGGGCUCUGACUACCUGGGGGAUUCCCAGAGAGCCCGUCGCCCUCAGUGCUACCUCAUUACCAUGCUCCUCCAAGGUCUCCACUCCCGAGGAGAAAGAAACAUCCCCCUUGGCUGGCCUCACAGAAGAUACAAAAGCAAAGCCCACCAGCACCAAAUUGAAAUUGACAGG